rnacentral:ncRNA from 1 species
GAGAGCGUGGUGCAUCGAAAGGGUGCAUGCCACGUUCGGAGGAGGGCGGUUGGAAACGUAUCUGCAAAGAUAACGCGCUGGCCGCCUAUCCUAC